rnacentral:rRNA from 1 species
UACGAAGGGUGCAAGCGUUAAUCGGAAUUACUGGGCGUAAAGCGCACGUAGGCGGAUAUUUAAGUCAGGGGUGAAAGCCCGGGGCUCAACUCCGGAAUUGCCUUUAAGACUGCAUCGCUAGAAUUGUGGAGAGGUAAGUGGAAUUCCGAGUGUAGAGGUGAAAUUCGUAGAUAUUCGGAAGAACACCAGUGGCGAAGGCGACACACUGGCUCAUUACUGACGCUGAGGCUCGAAAGCGUGGGGAGCAAACAGG